UACGUAGGGGGCUAGCGUUGUCCGGAAUCAUUGGGCGUAAAGAGUGUGUAGGCGGCCCGGUAAGUCCGCUGUGAAAGUCGGGGGCUCAACCCUCGAAUGCCGGUGGAUACUGUCGGGCUAGAGUGCGGAAGAGGCGAGUGGAAUUCCUGGUGUAGCGGUGAAAUGCGCAGAUAUCAGGAGGAACACCAAUUGCGAAGGCAGCUCGCUGGGACGUAACUGACGCUGAGACGCGAAAGCGUGGGGAGCAAACAGG
rnacentral:rRNA from 1 species